AGCUGUAAUGAUGUCCCACAAAGUUUGGGUGAAUGACAUCUGGGUGUCUCAUGAAAAGCGGUCAAUUUGAUCAAACUUGCCACCUUGUGGAAAAACAAUCAGUGUGCUUCAGAUGAAUGUGACGCCAUCACACGCACCCUCCUCUGACAUCCAGAAUGCUGGCGGGGGACAUGGGGCUGGGUGCCUGCUCGGCCAGGACGAAGCUCUCCCUGUGUCACCUCCCGCCUUACGGCACCCAGUUUGUGGGAGGUUUGCUUUGCCUGCUGACCUGAUGCUAACGCUCAGCUUAAACACUCCGUUCCAGAUUUUACAAGGGGACUGGGUGAUAACGUGUCAAGUACAUGCUGCCCAUACUUCCCAUCAAGCCUCAGUACAGUCCCAGCUUAAAGAUCCUCUCUGGCACCACACUGAUCCCUUGGGCCUGGGGGUGGAUGCCAGGAAGCCUCUUGGCCACAAAUCUGCCCUCUUGUGGGUUAGAGGCCAGCCCUCUCUUGCCUGACGUGACUUGUCUGAAGGGCCUGCACUUAAACCAUCUUCAGGCAACCAGGGCAUCUGAGCAUAACCUGAGCAGUAACAACAUAAAUCAAGGGUCAGUAAUUUGGGGUGGAUGAGACCUAGCCAGCCAUCCAGUCAGAUGCUGCCGUGCAGGUAAGCAUGAUUCUGAAGGCGUGGGGUACCUUUUGUCCUGUAAAGUCAGAGAGAAGGCUAAGAAGUGCAUGGCCAGAACCCCAAGAAAGUGCAGCUUGGAGUUUUGGCUUCCUUCCCCACCGCUUGGGUUAAAAGUUCAGGUGGAAUGCACUUGCCAGGACCUGCUGGGCCUGAACUCUGAAGUGCUGCGCUCACAUUACUGUCAGUGUAUCCAGGACAAAGGGCCCGGAGCCAGACAGGUGCCCCCUACAGCCGAGGGUCCAAGGCAACCCUGUGACUCAGAGCUGGCUUCAGCAAGCCAGCAGAGCAGCUGGGAGGAAGCCUCAUGGCAUGGCUGUGGCAUCAAGUGGGUGUCUGUGAGCAGCUUGGCUCUCACCACUGUUUUGACCUCUGGGAUCCUUACUCUUGCUGGGGGUCAGAUGUCAAGAAAAUAGAAGGAUUAUUAAAGAAUAAUUAAAUAAUUAAAGAUCAACAACAUGAAUUUCCCAAGCCAGGCUGAUUUCCAGGUCACAGAAGUCAGAGACCCUGGAAGUGAUCAAC
rnacentral:lncRNA from 1 species